UCGGGAAUUUUGGGCAAUGGGGGAAACCCUGACCCAGCAACGCCGCGUGAAGGAUGAAGUAUUUCGGUAUGUAAACUUCGAAAGAAUAGGAAGAAUAAAUGACGGUACUAUUUGUAAGGUCCGGCUAACUACGUGCCAGCAGCCGCGGUAAUACGUAGGGACCAAGCGUUGUUCGGAUUUACUGGGCGUAAAGGGCGCGUAGGCGGUUUGUCAAGUCAGUUGUGAAAUCUCCGAGCUUAACUCGGAACGGUCAACUGAUACUGUCAAACUAGAGUACAGAAGGGGCAAUCGGAAUUCUUGGUGUAGCGGUGAAAUGCGUAGAUAUCAAGAGGAACACCUGAGGCGAAGGCGGGUUGCUGGGCUGAUACUGACGCUGAAGCGCGAAAGCUAGGGUAGCAAACGGGAUUAGAUACCCGAGUAGUCCCUGAGCGGGCUGGCAAGGCGCAU
rnacentral:rRNA from 1 species